GUCAAGUCAGCAUGGCCUUUAUGUCCUGGGCUACACACACGCUACAAUGGUCAGCACAAUGGGUCGCUAAGCCGCAAGGUGGAGCCAAUCCUCAAAGUUGGCCUCAGUUCAGAUUGUAGGCUGCAACUCGCCUGCAUGAAGAUGGAGUUGCUAGUAAACGCAGGUCAGCUAUACUGCGGUGAAUACGUUCCCGGGGCUU
rnacentral:rRNA from 1 species